rnacentral:rRNA from 1 species
GAUUCUGGCUCAGGAUAAACGCUGGCGGCGCACAUAAGACAUGCAAGUCGAACGGACUUAACUCUUCUUUAGAUUGAGAGCGGUUAGUGGCGGACUGGUGAGUAACGCGUGAGUAACCUGCCUAUUAGAGGGGAAUAACAGUGAGAAAUCACUGCUAAUACCGCAUAUGCUCACAGUACCACAUGGUACAGUGAGGAAAGGAGCAAUCCCGCUAAUAGAUGGACUCGCGUCUGAUUAGCUAGUUGGUGGGGCAACGGCCUACCAAGGCGACGAUCAGUAGCCGGACUGAGAGGUUGAACGGCCACAUUGGGACUGAGAUACGGCCCAGACUCCUACGGGAGGCAGCAGUCGGGAAUAUUGCGCAAUGGAAGGAAACUCUGACGCAGUGACGCCGCGUAUAGGAAGAAGGUUUUCGGAUUGUAAACUAUUGUCGUUAGGGAAGAAAAAAGACAGUACCUAAGGAGGAAGCCCCGGCUAACUAUGUGCCAGCCGCCGC